rnacentral:rRNA from 1 species
AGAGGGUGCAAGCGUUAAUCGGAAUGACUGGGGCGUAAAGGGGUGCGUAGGUGGAAAGUUAAGUCAGCUGUGAAAGCCCUGGGGCUCAACCUGGGGAACUGCAGUUGAAACUGGCUAUCUAGAGUCGAAUAGAGGGGAGUGGAAUUUCCGGUGUAGCGGUGAAAUGCGUAGAUAUCGGAAGGAACAUCAGUGGCGAAGGCGGCUCUCUGGAUUCAGACUGACACUGAGGCACGAAAGCGUGGGUAGCGAACAGGAUUAGAUACCCUGGUAGUCCACGCUGUAAACGAUGAGUACUAGCUGUUGGUAGGCAUGACCUAUCAGUAGCGGAGCUAACGCAUUAAGUACUCCGCCUGGGGACUACGGCCGCAAGGCUA